UACAGAGGGUGCGAGCGUUAAUCGGAAUUACUGGGCGUAAAGCGCACGUAGGUGGCGACGUAAGUCGGGUGUGAAAGCCCCGGGCUCAACCUGGGAACCGCGCUUGAGACUGGAGUACUAGAGUUCGGGAGAGGUGAGUGGAACUGCGAGUGUAGAGGUGAAAUUCGUAGAUAUUCGCAAGAACACCAGUGGCGAAGGCGGCUCACUGGCCCGAUACUGACGCUGAGGCACGAAAGCGUGGGGAGCAAACAGG
rnacentral:rRNA from 1 species